rnacentral:rRNA from 1 species
AAAUGAAUAGACGGGGGCCCGCACAAGCGGUGGAUUAUGUGGUUUAAUUCGAAGCAACGCGCAGAACCUUACCUAGGCUUGAAAUCCUACGAACCUGACGUAAUGGUCGGGGUGCCCGCAAGGGAAUGUAGAGACAGGUGCUGCAUGGCUGUCGUCAGCUCGUGUUGUGAAAUGUUGGGUUAAGUCUCGCAACGAGCGCAACCCCUAUCUUUAGUUGCCAGCAUUAAGUUGGGCACUCUAGAGAGACUGCCCGGGUUAACCGGGAGGAAGGUGGGGAUGACGUCAAGUCCUCAUGGCCCUUAUGCCUAGGGCUACACACGUAAUACAAUGGCGUAUACAGAGGGAAGCGACCUGGUGACAGUGAGCAAAUCUCAAAAAGUACGUCUCAGUCCGGAUUGGAGUCUGUAACUCGACUCCAUGAAGUUGGAAUCGCUAGUAAUCGUGGAUCAGCACGCCACGGUGAAUACGUUCCCGGGCCUUGUACACACCGCCCGU